GGUGUUGUGGCUUAAUGGUAGAGUGCUUGCCUAACAAGAGUGAGAUGUUCACCAGUUCCACUGGGUUCAAUUCUCAGCAGCACAU
rnacentral:tRNA from 1 species